rnacentral:rRNA from 1 species
GGGUUUGAUCCUGGCUCAGAUUGAACGCUGGCGGGAUGCUUUACACAUGCAAGUCGAACGGCAGCACGGACUUCGGUCUGGUGGCGAGUGGCGAACAGGUGAGUAAUGUAUCGGAACGUGCCUAGUAGCGGAGGACAACUACGCGAAAGCGUAUACCGCAUACGCCCUUCGGGGAAAGCGGGGGACCUUCGGGCCUCGCACUAUUAGGCGGCCGAUAUCGGAUUAGCUAGUUGGUGGGAAGUAACGGCUCACCAAGGCGACGAUCCGUAGCUGGUUUGAGAGGACGACCAGCCACACUGGGACUGGAGACUGCGGCCCAGACUCCUACAGGAGGCAGCGGUGGGGAAUUUUGGACAAUGAAACCUGAUCCAGCCAUCCCGCGUGUGCGAUGAAGGCCUUCGGGUUGUAAAGCACUUUUGGCGGGAAAGAAACGGCACGGGAUAAUACCCCGUGCAACUGACGGCUACACGAAUAGCACCAGCUAACUACGACAGCAACCGCGGUAAUACGUAGGUGCAAGCGUUAAUCGGAAUUACUGGGCGUAAAGCGUGCGCAGGCGGUUCGGAAAGAAGAUGUGAAAUCCCAGAACUAGCACGGAACUGCAUUUUUAACUACCGAGCUAGAGUGUCUAUCAGAGAGGAAUUGGAAUUCCGAUAAUAGCAGUGAAAUGCCAUGGAGUAUGCGGAGGAACACCGAUGGCGAAGGCAGCCUCCUGGGUAACACUGACGGCGCUCUUGCAGCGAUAGAGGGGGCAAACAGGAUUGGGUACCUGGUAGUCCACGCCCUAAACGAUAUCAACUUCAGCUGUUGGGGCCUUCGGGCCUUGGUAGCGCAGCUAACGCGUGAAGUUGACCGCCUGGGGGAGUACGGUCGCAAGAUUAAACUCAAAGGAAUUGACGGGGACCCGCACAAGCGGUGGAUGAUGUGGAUUAAUUCGAUGCAACACUUCGAAAAACCUUACCUACCCUUGACAUGUCUGGAAUCCCGAAGAGAUUUGAGGUGCUCGCAAGAGAACCGGAACACAGGUGCUGCAUGUGUCGUCAGCUCGUGUCGGUGUUGGGUUAAGUCCCGCAACGAAGCGCAACCCUUUGUCAUUAGUUGCUACGAAGGCACUCUAAUGAGUUAACCGGUAGGCAAACCGGAGGAAGGUGGGGAUGACGUCAAGUCCUCAUGGCCCUUAUGCGGGUAGGGCUUCACCACGUCAUGCAAUAAAUUCAUGGGGACAGAGGGUCGCCAACCCGCGAAAGGGGAGCCAAUCCCAGAAACGAUCGUAGUCCGGAUCGCAGUCUGCAACUCGACUGCGUGAAGUCGAAUCGCUGUGUCGCGGAUCCAGCAUGUCGCGGUGAAUACGUUCCCGGGUCUUGUACACACACCGCCCGUCACACCAUGGGAGUGGGUUUUACCAGAAGUAGUUAGCCUAACCGUAAGGAGGGCGAUUACCACGAUGAGAUUCAUGACUGGGGUGAAGUCGUAACAAGGUAG